rnacentral:tRNA from 3 species
GCCGCUUUAGCUCAGUUGGUAGAGCAAAGGACUGAAAAUCCUUGUGUCCGCAGUUCAAUUCUGCGAGGCGGCA